rnacentral:snRNA from 1 species
AUACUUACCUGAACGGGGUCAAUGGGUGAUCAACAAGGCCCAUGGCCUAGUUUCCCUUCUUGUUUUUUUUGGUUACAGAAGAACUCGAGCAGAAAAUGGUUUGUUUUUCUGA